UACGGAGGAUCCAAGCGUUAUCCGGAUUUAUUGGGUUUAAAGGGUGCGUAGGCGGCCUAUUAAGUCAGGGGUGAAAGACGGUAGCUUAACUAUCGCAGUGCCUUUGAUACUGAUGGGCUUGAAUGAAUUAGAGGUAGGCGGAAUGUGACAAGUAGCGGUGAAAUGCAUAGAUAUGUCACAGAACACCAAUUGCGAAGGCAGCUUACUAUGGUUUUAUUGACGCUGAGGCACGAAAGCGUGGGGAUCAAACAGG
rnacentral:rRNA from 1 species